ensembl:lncRNA
AUGGUACGUGCCUCUGUUCAGCCUCAUCUUCUUGAUGAUCUGCUGCUACGCGCGGAUAAUCUGCGUGGCCACCGCAAGGAUGCAGUCAUGGUUGGGAACCUUCAACCCAGAGAGAGAGAGACGAAAGGUAAUGGCCUGUCCGAGAGUCACAUUUCUCCACGCACGCACACACCGAGCGUGAGGAUUAGAGUGUGUGCAGGAUUAGCUUUGGUGUUCCCGCUGGGUAGGUGUCAAACGGCGGGGAGCAAUUUGACCUUGUGACACUUGUGUGUGUGCGUUUCAUGGGCUUGUGUGUGUCCGUCUGUGCGCGCCAGCCCGUCCAUGCAUAUUUAAAUUUUGGAGCAGCGGCGCCUCUGCUCCUGACCUUACUGAAAGGAAAAGAAGGACAGGGGAGGCUGCCUGGGAAAAAUAGUAAGAUCUAGAGCAGUCCGAUUGUGAAAACAGGACAUGGGCUGCCGGGGAAAAGAGGAGAACGCCUCAACCUCCGGUUCUGCCGAGGGAACCCCGCGCGGCGUGUUACUGUCAUUCCCUCUACGGCCCAGCAGGGGGCGACUCCUCUGGUGGCAGAAAGAAGUCCUAUGUACGAUGUCUCUAUGAUGAAAGUCCUGCUUUGAACAGGACCGUGUUGACAUGCUGUAAAUUGCAAAUACGUCGACCGGGAAUCGUUGUGGUUGUGCAGUGAAGAAGGAAGAAGACCACCAGUGAAAACAACCCGAACCAAACUGCUAUUCCGAAGAGGAGUCAUAAUUAACUGUAACAUAUUAACAGACUUCUGUAUUGCCUUUGCACAAGUCCAGUAAGGAAGAAAGAAAGUCAGGUAAUCCAUUUAUUAUCAGACGACUAACGUUCGAUAUCCUGUAAACUAGGGGUGCCCAACCAACACGCCGCGGACCAGUACCGGUCUGUGGGCCAUAUUGACCAAUCCGCGAUUUAUUGUCUCAUAUGAAAACGGUCCGACGGGCAAAAAAGGUUGGAGACCCCUGCUGUCCCCAACCUGUCAAUCUAAUAACUGGCCUUCUUUGACGUGCAGUUGGGUUUUCAGUGGACUGUUUGUAAUGUCAGUCUGGUGCGGAUGCCAAGUUACAAAAAUUCUGAGAUGCCCGUCCAUGAGCGACAUUUCACGCUGUUACAGAGAAACGUUUGUAUGUAAUUCAUUGUCGUGUGAAGCAUUUUACAUUUAAAAGAAAACAUUCUUUCUGAAAUGUGUUCAAAAAAAAAUUGUCCCCUACAUGUAUGGAAGAGCCGUACUAAUCUGCUGGACAGCAAUGGAUUGAUAUGCAAUCAUUAAUUUCCAUUACUGGUAUCGGGAAGUGGCAUCUAACACCUGCCCACACAGAACUACUGCCCAAUGGUUUAAGACUUGAAAUCCUGCACAAAGGUGCUCAGGGUCACACUCCUAUUCACCACGCGUCCAGCAGCAGCAGCAGUACCUGCUCUGUUGUUACCACCCCACCCUGCAGGGUGCGCUGGGGGGGGGGGCAGUUUAGGGUUAAGGUUAUGUAGAUGCUGCCCCUAAGUGGCAGAUGUAAUUACUGCACAUUGAACUGGCGUAACCCUCACCGCCCAGACAACACACGCACACACACACACACACACACACACACUGUUCAUGUGGGCUAAUUGCUACGUGUAAAUAAGUCAGCAGGGUUUUUUUUUUAUCACACACUCGUUUCCUCGUAUUUCUCUUCCCCAAUCGCUCUCCUCGUUUCCAUCUGUUUUCCUCUGCCUCUCGCUUCGGUCCUCCUCUCUCUCUCUCUCUCUUCCCCCCCUACUCUUUUUUGUUCUCUCCUUCCCUCCCUCCGUCUCUCUCCCUCUCUUGUACCCAGCAUGAAUAAAGCAGCAAGCCAGGUUCAUGGACAUGAAUAUUUAUGAGUUUAUGCACGCGCUGCGAUGCUUUAAAACAACAACAACAGCCUCCCCGAUUGUGCUUGCCAAGCCAGCGAGCUCUCUGGCUUGUGUGUGUGUGUGUGUGUGUGUGUGUGUGUGUGUGUGUG